AUCGAACGCUGGCGGCAGGCCUAACACAUGCAAGUCGAGCGAACCCUUCGGGGUUAGCGGCGGACGGGUUAGUAACGCGUGGGAAUAUACCCAAAGGUACGGAAUAGCCUCGGGAAACUGAGAGUAAUACCGUAUGUGCCCCUCGGGGGAAAGAUUUAUCGCCUUUGGAUUAGCCCGCGUUGGAUUAGGUAGUUGGUGGGGUAAUGGCCUACCAAGCCGACGAUCCAUAGCUGGUUUGAGAGGAUGAUCAGCAACACUGGGACUGAGACACGGCCCAGACUCCUACGGGAGGCAGCAGUGGGGAAUCUUAGACAAUGGGGGAAACCCUGAUCUAGCCAUGCCGCGUGGACGAUGAAGGCCUUAGGGUUGUAAAGUCCUUUCAGCUGGGAAGAUAAUGACGGUACCAGCAGAAGAAGCCCCGGCUAACUCCGUGCCAGCCGCCGCGGUAA
rnacentral:rRNA from 1 species